CUUGGUUAGGAAACAGUAACAUCUCAGAAACUAUAGUUGAUAUUCAAUCCUGAAUUCAAUAUAUAAACAAUGGAAUGCUUAAACAGUAUUUUUUUCCCUUAGCAAAGACAUGUACUUGUCUUCUGCUAUUCAUUUUAACUUUUUGCCUGCUAUCCUCAGAUAACACAGAUAGUUUUCAUAGUAAAACAAGCUGAUAACUCCAUGGUAGCCUUUUCUUCUAUAUGUUAAGUCUUUCUCUCUCUCUCUCUCCCAAACUUCGUGUUAUUUACACUUAUUUUAACACAUCUGCCAAAUUAAUUACCGGUAAAUGCUUUAGAGAGGUAGUUAUUUGGAAUGUCCUGACUUUACUGGUUUCCUACAGACAGCACAAGAGACACUCGGCCCUCUUAGCUUUUUAAGUAUGUUUAUGGUAUACAUUAUCUGUAAAAUCAGACCGGGUGGGGGGGGAGCAAAAAUCUUUCUGUGAUAGCCAGGACAUUGUCCUUCUUGACAUCUGUGUUGCUGGUGGACAGGAUAUCCUGCCAAAUGUAAUAAGACAACUGUGUGACCCACCUUGUGAGAGAGGCACCACUAACUGAUUAGAGCACAGCAGGAGAGGGUGCUGAUUCUUCUAGCCUUGUGCUGCAUCCUCUACACACACACACACAAAGAAGGAGAGAAAAAAAAAACCUCCCUUACAGAAGGGAAAGAAAAGGCCCAAUUUAGGUGAGUAGCUCAGCUUCGAUAACAGAGAGAGCAGAUGAGAGUAACAAAUGCAAUUUUGCAUACAAAGACUUUUUUCAUAAAACCAGCAGAGUAACGGAUUAAACCACCUGGCAAUCCUGGCAAGAAAAGAAGAAAAUCUUAGGCUGUGACAAACCAAACCAGGUGUAACAGGUAUAAAACUUUUGCUUUCCAAUAAUACCCCUCUCUUCCCUGGAAUGCAUUGACAGGUGCAGAAGUUCAAGUUACAGUGGGGAAGUAGCAAAUAAAUACACAGCAUUAGUGUCUGACGUGCUUGCUGAGCAACCGGGGAUGUUAAUAACUGGCAAGGUACACUAAUCUCUGAUUGCAACAUUUGGUUUACCUUAAUCUGGAGGGACAGCUGUAUUAAAGAGGGAAUUAUACUAAUCAGUUCAAGGCCCUUGCAUAUAAAACUUCCCAUUAGGCUUAAAGUACAACAGCUUACGCUCAUUCUCUAGGAGCCUUACAUCUGGUUCUGAAUACGGCUGUCUCUCAUUUGCAAGAUAGAUACAGUACAAAACCAUACUCUGCAAUGAAACAAUAUCCACCAUUUGCUGCUUUCUAGAGCUGCAACAAAAUGGUGGCGUAGACAGAACGCACACAUCUCUCUGUUCCUUUCACAUGCUCCCUACCUUGUUCAUGAUCCUGACACACUCAGAAUGUCACUUGGUUUUAUUUUGAAUUGUUUUGGGAGAGAGGAAUUCUCUAAAGGAUGUGAAAAGAGAUGUGGUUUGAAAAUAGCAGCUUAUUUCCUUACUAGGUAAAGGGCAAAAGAGAAAAAAUAUCAAAGAAAAGAGAAUUUCAAUCAUCAUAAAUAUGUCCUUUUAUUGUGAAAAUAUUUUUCUCAGAAUAAAUAUGUACAGUUGGAAUGGCAGGGUGAAUGGCUGAGCCCAGUGCUCAGCUGGUGUAAAUUGGCAUAGUUCCAUGGACAUCCACAAAGCUUUGAUGAUUUAUACCAGCUAAGAAUUUGGCCCUAAAUUCCCAGAAAUGUGUAAUUUACAGUUCAGAGGUAAUAUAUAAAGAAUUUAUGCUGGAGAUGCUGAUGAAAAUUUAGAGAUAUGGUAGCAAUUUUUUUAAAAAUACAAUAGCAGUUGCUGACAUUCACAAAUGGCCAAAUAUAAUGUAUUGGUCUGAAAGGCAACUUCACUUUACAGGUAGUAGUAAUCUUUUGUGAACAUUUUCCAAAUUCUGAUAUAUACUUUGCAUUUCAAGGGAGGAGCCAAAAGUUAACUAUUAAAAAAAAAUCCACUCUUUUUACAAAUCAGCGACUUAAAGAAAAACACAUGAAAUAAUAUGAAUUUUAGGGUCUUGUAUGAAAGUAAUUUAACUAUAUUCAGAUCUUUAUAGACUUUAUAGACACUUGACUUCCACUACUGAUUAUUAAUAAUAAUCCUAUUUUCCCUUAUACUUUCAGCAUGAAUACAGAAUGUCAAAGCUAAUUUUCUCGUCAACUUAAACAUUAUCUAAAGAAUUGCAAACACAAUUGGAUACACAGGACUUGAGCCUCUUCUCACACAGCCGGGUUUGACAGCAGCGUAACUCCAUUGUCAGAUUUACACCAGAAUAAAUGAGAUCUGAAUCUGGUUCUGAAUUAUUGGAGUGCCAGAGAUCUAAUAGUAAAAAAAUCCAGCUAAAAGUACAUAAAUCUGCAGGUUCUUUUGACCCUGCAGUUCCUGGCACCAUACCAAGUAGAAAUCUGCAGUUGUACUUUCUGUGAUUCUAACACCUUGUUAUCAUUAUGGAACAUAACAAAAGCCUACAUUGAGUUAUCUAAAUGAAAUAAAUCUACUGGACUUCCACUGCUGGAUUUUAUGAGAUGUAUGUAUACAGUAAGUAAGAUAGAGUGUGUCUAUAUAUAUAAAAAAAAUCUUUUUAACAAGUUUGAGCACACAUCUGUUGAAGACAGAGAACCUAAUUCUCAUGUAUGUUAAGGCCACUUUGCACCACCCUGCUCCACUUUAAGGCCCCUUUAUGCUGUCAGAAUCGUACAAAGAGGCCUCAUGGAAAUAAGGAUCAGGACCCAAAAGUGUGAGGGAGAAAUUCUGCUCUCAAAUACACCUUUGUAAAUUUAGAGUAACACCAUUCACUUGGAUAGAAUUACUCCAGAUUUACAAUAAUGCAAAUGAGAACAGAAUUUGGUUCAGCCAAUUAACGAAACUCUGCCUUUUGCUCUAUUUAUUCCAAAAGAAAACUCUAAUAAUCUAAUUUGACAUAUAACAAAAUUAGGUUCCCAAUAAAGGCCAAUUAAUAUUUCUUCAUAGCUGUGUUACAGGCUGUAUUCAUUUUAGGAAAUGUGCAUGCAUUAUGAACUCAGUUUUUAUUAAGUACACGUUAAAAGUAAAAUUCACAUAUGCAGUCCCUGCAUAAAGUCUGAGGGAACAGAUUUUGUGUAUGAGAACAGGGUACACAAAAUCUAUCCUCCCCACCAAUAUGCAGAGUGGGAGCAGCCCCACAAACCUCUGCAAGAACCCCUGGAUUGUGACCCCUGCAUGCACGCUAUACAGUAUAACACUAGAGCCACAUAACUGCAGAUCUUCUGGCUAUGUCCCUUCCCUUUCUUUAGCUCACCCUUCAAUCCUUUCUGUCUUCUGUACUGAUCUAAGCAGAGCUAGUAUACAAUCCUAAUUCUCCAUGUGCAUGGGGUGCACACUAUCCACGUAAGUUCUUAUACACAGUAGUGGCUCUGAUACAUUGGAUGGCACUCUGCAGUGGCUUUGAGCUGCAUGAAUUUCAACCUUAGUGCAUAAUCUUUCCAUGUUUUUUGUCUGUCAGCUAAUGACAAAAUACAACUAAAACAUGCUCAGUUUCCCAGGCUCUUCAAUUAAGAACUUUAAUGGAGGGAUUAUUUACUACAAAAGAGUUACAAAAGGCCAGAUCUUCAGCUGGUGUAAAUCAGCAUAGUGCCAAUGAAGUCAGCAUGGCAAGAAUCUCCGGAUGGCAUAGAGCUACUAUAUUAGAUCUAUGUUAUCCUUUCCUGGUAUGUGAUGUGACUCCAGUGAUCCUCAGCUGCUAGAAUGAUCCUUUGGGGCCAUAUGCAACUGGUGGCAACUUAGAGCAGCCCUUUGGACUGCUCUAACUUGUGCCAGCCCCCAGUCAACCAAAGGGCAUGGAGCUGCAAUGGCAUAACAUCAUCUCCCUGUCUCCCCACCACCAGAUCUGUGUCAACGGCAACUCUACCAGAUCAGAAAAUAGACCUAUCAUUAGAGUAUGACAUGUGAGUGCUCAGGCCCUGGAUAAGCCAGUGGUGGUGAUGUCAUGCCAUUUGGCAUGCUUGGCUUGUUGGAUUAUGUAUCUGGGCAAGAGUGAUAAAAUUGUGACCUGCUACCUCUGUUUUGCUAGAAAUGAGCAUGUUGUCUUUCAUGGUGCUUCACCUGACUCUGCUUUAUUAUUCAUGCCAUCACCAUCACCUCUGUUCACCAUUUAUUAAAAGCUGGCCAAUCUAAAUAGUGAAUUUAUAUGCAUGUGAGGAUCUCUCAUUUGUUAAGUAUGUUCCACACAUAAAGAAUGACUUCUUUAAAUUAAAAAAAAAAAAAAAGCUUAAACAUUCUAAUUGUAAAUGUAUUUUACCUAUUUGGCCUGAUUCUGUUGUCACUUACAGACGUAAACAAGAAGUAACUCUACUUUAGUCAAUGGAGU